rnacentral:rRNA from 1 species
GAUGAACGCUGGCGGCGUGCCUAAUACAUGCAAGUCGAGCGAACAGACGAGGAGCUUGCUUCUCUGACGUUAGCGGCGGACGGGUGAGUAACACGUGGAUAACCUACCUAUAAGACUGGGAUAACUUCGGGAAACCGGAGCUAAUACCGGAUAAUAUAUUGAACCGCAUGGUUCAAUAGUGAAAGACGGUUUUGCUGUCACCUAUAGAUGGAUCCGCGCCGCAUUAGCUAGUUGGUAAGGUAACGGCUUACCAAGGCAACGAUGCGUAGCCGACCUGAGAGGGUGAUCGGCCACACUGGAACUGAGACACGGUCCAGACUCCUACGGGAGGCAGCAGUAGGGAAUCUUCCGCAAUGGGCGAAAGCCUGACGGAGCAACGCCGCGUGAGUGAUGAAGGUCUUCGGAUCGUAAAACUCUGUUAUUAGGGAAGAACAAAUGUGUAAGUAACUAUGCACGUCUUGACGGUACCUAAUCAGAAAGCCACGGCUAACUACGUG